rnacentral:rRNA from 1 species
GAUGAACGCUGGCGGCGUGCCUAAUACAUGCAAGUCGAGCGAACGGACGAGAAGCUUGCUUCUCUGAUGUUAGCGGCGGACGGGUGAGUAACACGUGGAUAACCUACCUAUAAGACUGGGAUAACUUCGGGAAACCGGAGCUAAUACCGGAUAAUAUUUUUAACCGCAUGGUUCAAAAGUGAAAGACGGUCUUGCUGUCACUUAUAGAUGGAUCCGCGCUGCAUUAGCUAGUUGGUAAGGUAACGGCUUACCAAGGCAACGAUGCAUAGCCGACCUGAGAGGGUGAUCGGCCACACUGGAACUGAGACACGGUCCAGACUCCUACGGGAGGCAGCAGUAGGGAAUCUUCCGCAAUGGGCGAAAGCCUGACGGAGCAACGCCGCGUGAGUGAUGAAGGUCUUCGGAUCGUAAAACUCUGUUAUUAGGGAAGAACAUAUGUGUAAGUAACUGUGCACAUCUUGACGGUACCUAAUCAGAAAGCCACGGCUAACUACGUG